UACGGAGGGUGCAAGCGUUAUCCGGAUUCACUGGGUUUAAAGGGCGCGUAGGCGGGCAUGCAAGUCAGGGGUGAAAGCCCACGGCUCAACCGUGGAAGUGCCUUUGAUACUGCGUGUCUUGAGCGAGGUAGGGGCGUGCGGAACUUCCGGUGGAGCGGUGAAAUGCGUAGAUAUCGGAAGGAACACCGGUGGCGAAAGCGGCGCGCUGGACCUCUUCUGACGCUGAGGCGCGAAAGCCAGGGGAGCAAACGGG
rnacentral:rRNA from 1 species